rfam:Trichobilharzia regenti genome assembly, scaffold: TRE_scaffold0032309
AUCGAGCUGACGAGUUCCCGAUGGGACGAAACGCAUGUCCUGGAU